UUGAAAGUAUUUCUAGAACAUCGGCAAAUACGGCGGAAGUCUUGUCAAAAAUCAGAAAUACUCUGUCCACAUUAGGUGAAGAAUGUUCUAGAAAUAUAUUUGGUUCCCUGCAUAUUGUCGACGAGUAAAUAAGUGCAUGCUUCAAGCCAAGAUCAGUACAUUUGACCUUCAUUCGAUCAACUUUUAGUUUAAACAAAAGUGAAAGUUAAACAAAACAACAGGACAGCAAAUACUCCAAAGGAUCCCUAGCCUGGGCAAUCACAGAACGAUGCAGAAGACAACGACACAGAGGACAGUGAAGAUGACAUUAAAGGGACUGUCAACCACGAAGACGAAGAAAAGAAAAAGCAAUUGCCCCUCAGGAGCCCGAGCCUGGACACUCGCAGAACGGCAAAGAAGACUGGGAACAAGAUGAAAGUGAAGAUGACAUUAAGCUUUUUAAUAGAUACAAUACAGAUACUGUGAUUUUAUUAGUGACUUUAAUUAUUAGGAAGUAGAUGUUAACAAACUUUGUUACUUUUCUUUGUUAG